rnacentral:lncRNA from 1 species
GGAACUGUACAGGAACUGUACAGGAAGACACAUGCUCAGAAUGGCCCCCCUUCUCCUCCCCAGCUCACACCCCACUGACUCAGCAAGCCCAGAGCCACCCCUUCGCACCCCUUCCUGGCCCAGUGCACCCCCAAACCGGCCGUGCAAGCACACCCUUCAGACUUUGUAGCUGCUUUUAUUAUUAAUAUUAUCUUUUCCUUUAAACAUCCCUUUAAGGGUGAAAUGAAAUCCAACCAUUUACAGAGAAAAUGAUUUCAGAAUGUACAUAUUGAUUUUUCCCUUACAAAAAAAAUAAUACUAUUGUUAUUACUGGUGUCCUUAACUUACACGUUUCCCAGGGCCCUGCCUGCUGCUCGGGCAAGUUGUGUUUCCCCACCCCGACGGUCACCUUUGCCCCCAAAGCUCUCCCACGCCUGCCCGUGGGAAGAAAGCUGGCUCUGGCGACAGGGCCAGCAGUGCGCUGGCGGUCACAUUCACAGUUUGGCUUCCCUUUAAUACUGGGGGAGUGGCCCAGGGUUCCCCUGCCCCCGAAAUUCCCAGUGUAUGAUGUGAGUAAAAGUGAAAUUCUUCAACCCCAUGCCUUGGCUCUAAGCUCCUCCCCAAUUCCUUCUCCUGCCCCUGAGCCAGUGGACCGGAGGCCAGGGCCCCCCGGCCAGCCUGGAGAAGGGGGCAGAGAGGUAGCGGGCUUGCAGCUGUACAGCCCUCAGGCCAGGCGGCUUCUUAUUCCAUGGACUGAAAGACAGACAGACAGAUGGCCCCCACGUCCCCUUUCGCCUUGCUUUCCAGGCUCCCCAAGUGGCUGUCAGCCUCAGUCGUUUUGGGGAGUUGCAGGAGGUGUGGCCACAGGCUCCAGGUCCCCGGAAAGGGGCGGCCUGGGCCCUGCUCUCACCUCCACACACAAGCAUCUAUGUACAGGGACACACCGACGUAGACACGUACAAGUACACACCAAGCAUGCACCCAUGCCCAUAAAUACACACACACGCGCACAAACGGGCACCAUUCCACAGGUAGGCUCUGCGUCCUGGCAUUACUGGGUAAACGCCUGAGGGGGCUUGGGGGAGGGGGUGUUCAUCCUGCCCACAACUGCAGGCUCUCACCACACCCGGGCCCUGGGUGGCCAGUGAGGCGGCGGAAGCACUCAUUCUACCCUCUGUCCUCCCCCUCUGCCAGCCAUGCUCCUCGUCCCCACACCCAUCCCCUCCUCCUUCCUUUAAGAAAUGAACGGGGCAGCCCAGCCGAAAACUACUCUUCCCAGCUUCCCUUGCAGCUACUAGCAGCCAUGUGACUAAGUCCUGGCCAGUGAGAUGCCAUCAGAAGUGACUGUGCCACCUCUAGCUCAUGCUCUUACCAGAAAGGGUGUGCCCUCCCCAUGUCUAUUCUGAGUCCCCCAGGCGUGGACGCACACAUGACGGUGGGCGCUGCAGCAACCCCUCUGUCUGGAAUUGGAAGGUGUGACAAAGGGCAGACAGCAGAGCUGCCUGCUAGAGCCAGGCCGUCUCCCUCCCCGGGGGGGGAGUUAGAAACAGGCUUCGGCCUUCCUUCACUCACUGUAUUUUGGGGUCUCUUAAUUACAGCGGUUUAGAAUCUACUCUAGCAAAUACAUCCCCCUCCCCCAUGAGGCAACGAAGGAAUGAGGUGACACAGGACUGGCCUUACUGUCCCUCUUGGGCCGAGGGCAGGCUUGUGGCUCCUUCCUGGCCCCGAGGCAGCCCCAAGGAGGGGCACUUGGGUGACUCCACCUGUGACGGUGGAGAGCUGGCACUGUGGGUUCCAGUGGGAAGGGGUGAUGGGGAGGGGGAGGCUCCUCCCCCCGGGUCUGACCUACGAGGUUGGCUGAUGGUCCCGUCCCAUUCUGAGAGCUGGACACCUGGCCUUGCCAGGACUGGGGGGUGGGGGGUGGGUGGCACAAGAUGGAGGUAUAAAACGGAAGGAAUGUCAAGGGCAGGUCUGGAACCAAAAGGAAGACU